GCCUUUAUUGGCAUAUGGUGUUGAGUGUUCUUCGUAACUGGAAGGAAUUAUUUUUAUGUCAAAGGUUCGGCCCCUUUAAAUGACAC
rnacentral:tRNA from 2 species